AUGAACGCUAGCUACAGGCUUAACACAUGCAAGUCGAGGGGCAGCAUGGUCUUAGCUUGCUAAGGCCGAUGGCGACCGGCGCACGGGUGAGUAACACGUAUCCAACCUGCCGUCUACUCUUGGACAGCCUUCUGAAAGGAAGAUUAAUACAAGAUGGCAUCAUGAGUCCACAUGUUCACAUGAUUAAAGGUAUUCCGGUAGACGAUGGGGAUGCGUUCCAUUAGAUAGUAGGCGGGGUAACGGCCCACCUAGUCUUCGAUGGAUAGGGGUUCUGAGAGGAAGGUCCCCCACAUUGGAACUGAGACACGGUCCAAACUCCUACGGGAGGCAGCAGUGAGGAAUAUUGGUCAAUGGGCGAGAGCCUGAACCAGCCAAGUAGCGUGAAGGAUGACUGCCCUAUGGGUUGUAAACUUCUUUUAUAAAGGAAUAAAGUCGGGUAUGCAUACCCGUUUGCAUGUACUUUAUGAAUAAGGAUCGGCUAACUCCGUGCCAGCAGCCGCGGUAAUACGGAGGAUCCGAGCGUUAUCCGGAUUUAUUGGGUUUAAAGGGAGCGUAGAUGGAUGUUUAAGUCAGUUGUGAAAGUUUGCGGCUCAACCGUAAAAUUGCAGUUGAUACUGGAUAUCUUGAGUGCAGUUGAGGCAGGCGGAAUUCGUGGUGUAGCGGUGAAAUGCUUAGAUAUCACGAAGAACUCCGAUUGCGAAGGCAGCCUGCUAAGCUGCAACUGACAUUGAGGCUCGAAAGUGUGGGUAUCAAACAGGAUUAGAUACCCUGGUAGUCCACACGGUAAACGAUGAAUACUCGCUGUUUGCGAUAUACAGCAAGCGGCCAAGCGAAAGCGUUAAGUAUUCCACCUCGGGAGUACGACGGUCACGGUGAAACACAAUGGAAUUGACGGGGGCCCGCACAAGCGGAGGAACAUGUGGUUUAAUUCGAUGAUACGCGAGGAACCUUACCCGGGCUUAAAUUGCAGAUGAAUUACGGUGAAAGCCGUAAGCCGCAAGGCAUCUGUGAAGGUGCUGCAUGGUUGUCGUCAGCUCGUGCCGUGAGGUGUCGGCUUAAGUGCCAUAACGAGCGCAACCCUUGUUGUCAGUUACUAACAGGUUCUGCUGAGGACUCUGACAAGACUGCCAUCGUAAGAUGUGAGGAAGGUGGGGAUGACGUCAAAUCAGCACGGCCCUUACGUCCGGGGCUACACACGUGUUACAAUGGGGGGUACAGAGGGCCGCUACCACGCGAGUGGAUGCCAAUCCCAAAAACCUCUCUCAGUUCGGACUGGAGUCUGCAACCCGACUCCACGAAGCUGGAUUCGCUAGUAAUCGCGCAUCAGCCACGGCGCGGUGAAUACGUUCCCGGGCCUUGUACACACCGCCCGUCAAGCCAUGGGAGCCGGGGGUACCUGAAGUGCGUAACCGCGAGGAGCGCCCUAGGGUAAAACUGGUGACUGGGGCU
rnacentral:rRNA from 1 species